rnacentral:rRNA from 1 species
CGGUAAUUCCAGCUCCAAUAGCGUAUACUAAAGUUGUUGCAGUUAAAAAGCUCGUAGUUGGAUUGCUGCGGGGACGGAGCGGCCGGUCGCAACUUGCGACUCGAGCUAGCGCUUUCCCCGCAUCCUGCCGCGAACCGUGCUACCAUUAGUUUGGUGGCGCUGGGGAUCGGCUCGAUUACUUUGAGAAAAAUAGAGUGUUCAAAGCAGGCCACACGCCUUGAAUAAGUUAGCAUGGAAUAAUGACUAAGGACUUUGGUUCUUUUCGUUGGUGUUCGGGACUGAAGUAAUGAUUGAUAGGGACAGUUGGGGCGGUCCGUAUUCCAAAGCGAGAGGCGAAAUUCUUAGACCUUCGGAAGACGAACAGCUGCGAAAGCGUUCCGCAAGGAUGUUCCCUUUGAUCAAGAACGAAAGUUGGGGGAUCGAAGGCGAUCAGAUACCGUCGUAGUCUCAACUAUAAACUAUACCAGCUAGGGAUCGGCCAACGUUUAAUUAUUCGACUUGGUCGGCACCUUAUGAGAAAUCAAAGCAUCUGGGUUCCGGGGGGAGUAUGGUCGCAAGGCUGAAACUUAAAGGAAUUGACGGAAGGGCACCACCAGCCGUGGAGCCUGUGGCUUAAUUUGACUCAACACGGGAAAACUUACCAGGUCCGGACAUAGUAAGGAUUGACAGAUUGAUAGCUCUUUCUUGAUUCUGUGGGUGGUGGUGCAUGGCCGUUUUUAGUCGGUGGAUGUGAUCUGUCUGCUUAAUUGCGUUAACGGACGAGACCCCAGCCUGCUAAAUAGCGCGGCCGAGCUUUGCUCGGUGCGAGCUUCUUAGAGGGACCAUGAUGCGCGAUAGCACAAGGAAGUUUGGGGCAACAACAGGUCUGUGAUGCCCUUAGAUGUUCUGGGCCGCACACGGGCUACACUGGCGCCUGCAACGAGCAUAUCAGCUGGCCCGAGAGGGUCUUGGCUAAUCUUUGGAGCCGGCGCCGUGCUUGGGAUUGACCAUUGCAAUUGUUGGUCAUGCAACGAGGAAUGCCUUGUAAACGCGAGUCAUCAGCUCGCAUUGAAUACGUCCCUGCCCUUUGUACACACCGCCCGUCGCUCCUACCGAUGAAUGUUCCGAUGAAAUUUUCGGAGAGCGCCGGAGAACGGGGCCCCGCCCUGCAGAACUGGAGGCUCAAAGUCACUUAAAUCUGAACAUUUCGAGGAAGGAGAAGUCGUAACAAGGUAGCCG